rnacentral:rRNA from 1 species
AUUGAACGCUGGCGGCAGGCCUAAUACAUGCAAGUCGAACGAGUGGCGGACGGGUGAGUAAUGUCUGGGCAACUGCCUGAUGGAGGGGGGAAACUACUGGAAACGGUAGAUAAUACUGCUUACCAUGAGAUGUGGCCAGAUGGAAUUAGCUAGUUGGUGGGGUAACGGCUCACCAAGGCGACGAUCCCUAGCUGGUCUGCGAGGAUGACCAGCCCAACUGGAACUGAGACACGGUCCAGACUCCUACGGGAGGCAGCAGUGGGGAAUAUUGCACAAUGGACGUAAGCCUGAUGCAGCAAUGCCGCGUGUAUGAAGAAGGCCUUCGGGUUGUAAAGUACUUUCAGCGGGGAGGCGUUACCCGCAGAAGAAGCACCGGCUAACUCCGUGCCAGCAGCCGCGGUAAUAC